rnacentral:rRNA from 1 species
AACGAACGCUGGCGGCAGGCCUAACACAUGCAAGUCAAACGGGGUAGCAAUACCUAGUGGCGCACGGGUGAGUAACACGUGGGAAUCUCCCUUUCAGUACGGAAUAACAGCGGGAAACUGCUGCUAAUACCGUAUGGUCCCUUCGGGGUAAAGAUUUAUCGCUGAAAGAUGGGCCCGCGUCAGAUUAGCUAGUUUGUGGGGUAACGGCCGACCAAGGCCACGAUCUGUAGCUGGUCUUAGAGGACGAUCAGCCACACUGGAACUGAAAAACGGUCCAGACUCCUACGGGAGGCAGCAGUGGGGAAUAUUGGACAAUGGGGGAAACCCUGAUCCAGCCAUGCCGCGUGAGUGAUGAAGGCCUUCGGGUUGUAAAGCUCUUUAGGGUGGGACGAUAAUGACGGUACCACCAGAAUAAGCCCCGGCUAACUUCGUGCCAGCCGCCGCGGUAA